rnacentral:lncRNA from 1 species
UUGGAACAGGGCCGGAGAGGCCAUAGAAACACAGAUCUGUGGAGGAUCUUCUCGAACACCAUCAAGUUCGGACCUUGAAAUCUCGAAAAACCAUGGUUUGGGGGUGAAGGAAGGUGAGCACAGGCCGUCUAUGGCCUGAGAACACAUGGACCCGAUGAGAUUGGUCGGAGAAGACGAAAAAAGAUGAUUAGGGUUUCGAGUGCUAGAGAUCAUUUGAGAUAAGGGGAGAG